rnacentral:rRNA from 1 species
GGAGUGAACGCUGGCGGUAGGCCUAACACAUGCAAGUCGAACGGCAGCACGGUAAGAGCUUGCUCUUAUGGGUGGCGAGUGGCGGACGGGUGAGGAAUACAUCGGAAUCUACCUUUUGGUGGGGGAUAACGUAGGGAAACUUACGCUAAUACCGCAUACGCCCUUCGGGGGGAAAGCCGGGGACCAGCAAUGGCCUGGCGCUGAUAGAUGAGCCGAUGUCGGAUUAGCUAGUUGGUGAGGUAAUGGCUCACCGAAGGCGACGAUCCGUAACUGGUCUGAGAGGAUGAUCAGUCACACUGGAACUGAGACACGGUCCAGUACUCCACGGGAGGCAGGACUAGGUGGGGGAAAUAGUUGGGAACAAAGGUGGGCGAAAAGCCUGACUACCAGCCAUCGGACCGCGGUGUGUAGAAGGUAGUCGUUACGGAUUAGUAAA